UACGGGGGAUGCAAGCGUUAUCCGGAUUUAUUGGGUUUAAAGGGUGCGUAGGCUGUGAGGUAAGUCAGCGGUGAAAUGCCCCCGCUCAACGGGGUGAAGUGCCAUUGAUACUGCCUUGCUGGAAUGCGGAUGCCGUGGGAGAAAUGUGUGGUGUAGCGGUGAAAUGCAUAGAUAUCACACAGAACACCGAUUGCGAAGGCAUCUCACGAAUCCGCUAUUGACGCUGAUGCACGAAAGCGUGGGUAUCAAACAGG
rnacentral:rRNA from 1 species